GAGCGCGUGGCAACACGAGCGGCAGACGGGUGAGUAACGCGUGGGAAUCUACCGGACCCUACGGAAUAACGCAUGGAAACGUGUGCUAAUACCGUAUACGCCCCAAGGGGGAAAGAUUUAUCGGGGUUUGAUGAGCCCGCGUUGGAUUAGCUAGUUGGUGGGGUAAAGGCCUACCAACGCGACGAUCCAUAGCUGGUCUGAGAGGAUGAUCAGCCACAUUGGGACUGAGACACGGCCCAAACUCCUACGGGAGGCAGCAGUGGGGAAUAUUGGACAAUGGGCGCAAGCCUGAUCCAGCCAUGCCGCGUGAGUGAUGAAGGCCCUAGGGUUGUAAAGCUCUUUCACCGGAGAAGAUAAUGACCCUCUCCGGAGAAGAAGCCCCGGCUAACUUCGUG
rnacentral:rRNA from 1 species